rnacentral:rRNA from 1 species
UACGUAGGGUGCAAGCGUUGUCCGGAAUUAUUGGGCGUAAAGAGCUCGUAGGUGGCCUGUCGCGUCGGCUGUGAAAACUCGGGGCUCAACUCCGAGCUUGCAGUCGAUACGGGCAGGCUAGAGUUCGGCAGGGGAGACUGGAAUUCCUGGUGUAGCGGUGAAAUGCGCAGAUAUCAGGAGGAACACCGGUGGCGAAGGCGGGUCUCUGGGCCGGUACUGACGCUGAGACGCGAAAGCGUGGGGAGCAAACAGG